rnacentral:rRNA from 1 species
CGCGUAGGCGGUCGGUCAGGUCGGUUGUGAAAGCCCUCGGCUCAACCGAGGAACUGCAUCCGAUACUGGUCGGCUAGAGUAUGGAAGGGGAGAGUGGAACUCCUGGUGGAGCGGUGAAAUGCGUAGAUAUCAGGAGGAACGCCGGUGGCGAAAGCGACUCUCUGGUCCACAACUGACGCUGAGGCGCGAAAGCCAGGGGAGCAAACG